AGUGAACGCUGGCGGUAGGCCUAACACAUGCAAGUCGAACGGCCGCACAGUAAUAUCUUGCUCUUACGGGUGGCGAGUGGCGGACGGGUGAGGAAUACAUCGGAAUCUACUUUUUCGUGGGGGAUAACGUAGGGAAACUUACGCUAAUACCGCAUACUACCUACGGGUGAAACCAGGGGCUCUUCGGACCUUGGUCGAUUGAAUGAUGCCAUGUCGGAUUCCAUAUCUGGCGGGGUAAAGGCCGACGAAGGCGACGAACCGUAGCUGGUACCAGAGGAUGAUCACCCACACGGGAACUGAGACACAGUAGCGACUCCUACAGGAGGCAGCAGUGGGGAAUAUUAGACGAUGGGCGCGAGCCUAAUCCAGCCAAAUCGGGGAGAUGAUGAAGGCCUCAGGGUUGGAAAGCCCUUUAGUUGUUAGAGAAAAACAGCUGGUUAAUCCCCCACUGUUCUGACGGUACCCAAAGAAUAAGCACCGGCUAACUUCGUG
rnacentral:rRNA from 1 species